rnacentral:pre_miRNA from 1 species
GGUUACUGAUCUAGAACCAGAUAUCCUGUCAAACUAAGUCUGGUUCUAGAUCAGUAAACACA